CCCCACUGCCUCCAGAUCAAAACUCUCUCUCUCUUCCUCUCUUCAGCAAGCACAAAACUGAAACCAAGUCUCCUCCUCCUUACCCCUUUGCAAAUUCCACACAGCACCUCAAAACUCUCAACCAUCAUGCCUAUCGAUCAACUUGAGAUGAAGGCCAUGAAAGAGAAAGAAAAAGAAGAGGCAUGGUAUUGUGGGUUAGCAGAAAGUUGGAAUGGGAGGAAUCGGUAAAAAGAGAUAUUAUUGUAAAGACAGUGGUGGAGCCCACAUAAAGAAAAGAAGAAAAUAUUCAAAAGGCAAAUGAUGAUGUUGAGUAAUGAAGACUUUGGAGACCAUAGGAAGCCAUCCAAUUUGCCUAUAAAUAUGCUUACUCAUUCAGUUGUAGAACACAUCAAUCCAAAGAGAAAAUAUAAAGAGAGAAAUUUGAGAGUGUGAGAGCUUUAUCUUAGAAGACUUUUAUCAAAGAGAGAAAGUUCUGUCAGUGUAAAAACCACAAGAGUAAAUAGAACUCUACUCCCAAUAUUCAGUGAUACUUUUCAUACUCCGAUUAUUAUUUUAUAACUGUUAUAAAAUAAAAUAAUUAGAGUAUGGAAUUACCACUGAAAAAU